UUGGCAGAAACACGGCCAUACUCACCUCACCUAUGGCCCGCCAGAUAAUUACGAGUAAAAACUUAAAAUUCAAAGGACUUGACGGUGUCCCACACACAACCUAGAGGAGCCUGUCCUAUAAUCGAUACUCCACGAUAGACCCGACCACUUUUUGCCAAACAAUCUAUAUACCGCCGUCGAAAGUUUACCUUUUGAGAGAGGGGAAGUAGACACAAGAGGCCACCCCCCAAUAUGACAGGUCAAGGUGUAGUAAAUAAAGUGGCUAGAGAUGGGCUACACUUCCUUAAUAAGGAGAAACGAACGGCUUAAUGAAACCACGCCAGAAGGUGGAUUUAGUAGUAAAAUGAGAUUAGAAAGCUCAUUUGAACACACUGCUCUGGGACG
rnacentral:rRNA from 1 species